rnacentral:rRNA from 1 species
AUACGUAGGUGGCGAGCGUUGUCCGGAAUUAUUGGGCGUAAAGAGCAUGUAGGCGGCUUAAUAAGUCGAGCGUGAAAAUGCGGGGCUCAACCCCGUAUGGUGCUGGAAACUGUUAGGCUUGAGUGCAGGAGAGGCAAGGGGAAUUCCCAGUGUAGCAGUGAAAUGCGUAGAUAUUGGGAGGAACACCAGUGGCGAAGGCGCUUUUCUGGACUGGGUCUAAAGCUGAGAGGCGAAAGCCAGUGUAGCGAACGGGAUUAGAUACCCCUGUAGUCCUGGCCGUAAACGAGGGGUACUAGGUGUAGGAGGGAUCGACCCCGUCUGUGCCGGAGUUAACGCAUUAAGUACCCCGCCUGGGGAGUACGGCCGCAAGGUUGAAACUCAAAUGAAUUGACGGGG